CGGGACGGGUGAGUAACGCGUGGGUAACCUGCCAUAUACAGGGGAUAACAGCGAGAAAUUGCUGCUAAAACCGCAUAAGCGCACGGAGUCGCAUGACUCAGUGUGAAAAACUCCGGUGGUAUAUGAUGGACCCGCGUCUGAUUAGCCAGUUGGCAGGGUAACGGCCUACCAAAGCGACGAUCAGUAGCCGGCCUGAGAGGGUGGACGGCCACAUUGGGACUGAGACACGGCCCAAACUCCUACGGAAGGCAGCAG
rnacentral:rRNA from 1 species